rnacentral:rRNA from 1 species
GGUGGAGCGAUUUGUCUGGUUAAUUCCGAUAACGAACGAGACUCUGGCCUAUUAAAUAGCCGGUAUAUAUUGAAAAGUUUACCGCGCUUCUUAGAGGGACAACCGGCGUCUAGCCGCGUGAAAUAGAGCAAUAACAGGUCUGUGAUGCCCUUAGAUGUCCGGGGCUGCACGCGCGCUACACUGAAAGAAUCAGUAUGCGCUUUUACCUAGUUCGGAAGAACCGGGUAACCCUAGCAAAUUCUUUCGUGCUUGGGAUAGGGAAUUGCAAUUAUUUCCCUUGAACGAGGAAUUCCCAGUAAAUGCGGGUCAUAAGCUCGCGUUGAAUACGUCCCUGCCCUUUGUAC